ACUGUAUUAAAGGAAUACGCCACCGUUUGUUGAAAUAGGGUUAUUCACCGUCUCCUCUGUAUUUAUAUAGGUGGGCAAACGCAUUUUGUCUCAGUGCAUGCAUUGUCUUAUUCCGGCAGCGCCGCCGCAAGCUUAGCUUAGCGUAUUGAAUGGAAUCCUAUGUUGCCGGUUAGCAUGUCGUGAGUAAAAGUGACCCAACAA